UAUUAUGUGAGAACUCGUAUC
rnacentral:piRNA from 1 species